GGCGAACGGGUGAGUAACACGUGGGCAAUCUGCCCUUCACUCUGGGACAAGCCCUGGAAACGGGGUCUAAUACCGGAUAUAACUCCUGCAGGGAUCUGCCGGGGUCGAAAGCUCCGGCGGUGAAGGAUGAGCCCGCGGCCUAUCAGCUUGUAGGUGAGGUAACGGCUCACCAAGGCGACGACGGGUAGCCGGCCUGAGAGGGCGACCGGCCACACUGGGACUGAGACACGGCCCAGACUCCUACGGGAGGCAGCAGUGGGCAAUAUUGCACAAUGGGCGAAAGCCUGAUGCAGCGACGGCGCGUGAGGGAUGACGGCCUUCGGGUUGUAAACCUCUUUCAGCAGGGAAGAAGCGAAAGUGUCGGUUCCUGCACAAGAAGCGCCGGCUAACUACCUGCCAGCAGCCGCCGUAAUACGUAGGGCGCAAGCGUUGUCCGGAAUUAUUGGGCGUAAAGAGCUCGUAGGCGGCUUGUCACGUCGGGUGUGAAAGCCCGGGGCUUAAACCCGGAUCUGCAUUCCAUACGGGCUAGCUAGACUGUGGUAGGCGACAUCGGAAUUCCUGGUGUAGCGCUGAAAUGCGCAGAUAUCAGGUGGAACACCGCUGGCGAAGGGGGAUCU
rnacentral:rRNA from 1 species